CAGUUUCUGGUUAAUGGUAACCUCCAGGAUGUUUUAGUGGGAUAAAGCAAUUACUAAUUUAUCUUAUGACUGACAGCUUUAAGCAGGUCACUCAUUAACUUGCUCCAUUAUGUUAAAAAAAAACUCAUUGCAAAAAUGUCUCUAAAUGAUAUAAUGCCUUCUCCCAGCAAUAUCGUACCAAAUCGUCUCCAUUUUGCAAUUUGUAAAUUGCACAUGUGGUCCAAAGGUCUUGCUCUAUUUUCCCUCACCUUGAUAUGUUUGUCAUGACUUACAAGGGAAGUCAAUGAAAAUAGAAACUACUUCACUUUAUGGUGCUUAAAUAGUAACCCAUAUUAAGGACGGCAAGUGAUUGUUACUGAGUUAAUUACUCAUUCUUACCCAUUUCAAAUAGUUAGAUUUUUGCCUUAAGCCUUCAUAUGAUUGUAUGGUCUGUGAUUGUUAUUUUCAAGAGUUCCACAUUAUUGACUGACUGACUGUUUAUCAAGUUAAAAAUUGGUUACCUUCAAGACUGUGGUCUGUAGAUAGGAAUAACACAAAUUCCAGGUGUGAAAGCCAGAGCCAAGUUCACAAUUCAGUGUGGAGUUUGUAAUUUGGCAGAUACUUUGGGUGACAUUCCCACUUAACAACGUAAAUUCAUUUGGGCUUCAAUAUAAUCAAUGUUCUCAGGUAACUUGUACCUAAAACUGUUACAAGGGUAAAAUUUGAAAUGUUUCAUAAUUACAUGAUAAACAAAGGAUUGUAUGCAGGGUUAACCAGCAGUGGGGUUGCUUCAGUAAUACUGUUGCAAGUUCCCUCCCAAGCCCCACACUAUCUUGACUUGGAGCCAUAGCUCGGUUCUUUCACUGUUGCUGGGUCAAAAUCCUACAACUCCUUUCCUAACAGCAUUGGACUGUAGUUAUUCAAGAAGCUAUCUCGCAUCACCUUCUUUAAAGGCCAUUUGAAAUAGAAUAAAUGGUGGACAGAAUGCCCAAACCCCAUGAAUGAGUAAUAAAGACAAUGGUAGAAGAGCCUCUAAGUGUGAGGACCCUGGAUUAGAGGCAUAUGUUACUAAAUUGUUAUUUUCUUUUUGUUAAUGGCAUGUGGACAUCACUGGCUCGGCCAGCAUAUAUUGCCCUGGAGAAGGUGGUGGCAUUAGUCUGUUGGCCAGGUUACAAGCAAGGCGAACUGGAUUGGAGAAAAAUGUACAAAUAAAAUGAGCGAGAGGACACAAUGGACUUCAGUGCUCAAGAUGCAGCAACUCAAUAAAGGAUGUGCAACAAA